AUUGAACGCUGGCGGCAUGCUUUACACAUGCAAGUCGAACGGCAGCGCGGGCUUCGGCCUGGCGGCGAGUGGCGAACGGGUGAGUAAUACAUCGGAACGUGCCCAGUAGUGGGGGAUAGCUCGGCGAAAGCCGGAUUAAUACCGCAUACGACCUGAGGGUGAAAGCGGGGGAUCUUCGGACCUCGCGCUAUUGGAGCGGCCGAUGGCAGAUUAGCUAGUUGGUGGGGUAAAGGCCUACCAAGGCGACGAUCUGUAGCUGGUCUGAGAGGACGACCAGCCACACUGGGGCUGAGACACGGCCCAGACUCCUACGGGAGGCAGCAGUGGGGAAUUUUGGACAAUGGGCGAAAGCCUGAUCCAGCAAUGCCGCGUGUGUGAUGAAGGCCUUCGGGUUGUAAAGCACUUUUGGCGGGAACGAAAAGGACUGUGCCAAUACCACGGUUCGAUGACGGUACCCGCAGAAUAAGCACCGGCUAACUACGUG
rnacentral:rRNA from 1 species